rnacentral:rRNA from 1 species
GAUGAACGCUGGCGGCGUGCCUAAUACAUGCAAGUCGAGCGAACAGACGAGGAGCUUGCUCCUCUGACGUUAGCGGCGGACGGGUGAGUAACACGUGGAUAACCUACCUAUAAGACUGGGAUAACUUCGGGAAACCGGAGCUAAUACCGGAUAAUAUAUUGAACCGCAUGGUUCAAUAGUGAAAGACGGUUUUGCUGUCACUUAUAGAUGGAUCCGCGCCGCAUUAGCUAGUUGGUAAGGUAACGGCUUACCAAGGCAACGAUGCGUAGCCGACCUGAGAGGGUGAUAGGCCACACUGGAGCUGAGACACGGUCCAGACUCCUACGGGAGGCAGCAGUAGGGAAUCUUCCGCAAUGGGCGAAAGCAUGACGGAGCAACGCCGCGUGAGUGAUGGAGGUCUUCGGAUCGUAAAACUCUGUUAUUAGGGAAGAACAAAUGUGGAAGUAACUAUGCACGUCUUGACGGUACCGAAUCAGAAAGCCACGGCUAACUACGUG